UUGAAGUUCAUUCAUUCAAAGGGUAACUCCAUUGGAAGUACAUCGCCUGAUUAUGAGUUGUUGGCUUGAACGCUAUCUUCUUUCGAAUACUUAUCGGCCUGUCAAUCUAGAUUUCUCUAAGUAAGACCUCUGUUCCACUACUCUCCCUUUCGCUUUAGCCACUGAGUCUUGUGCCGCCGAACUUCUCUAACGUGCUUCAAUGCAAGUACUUGAUUCUUU
rnacentral:lncRNA from 1 species